AUUGAACGCUGGCGGCAUGCCUUACACAUGCAAGUCGAACGGCAGCACGGGUGCUUGCACCUGGUGGCGAGUGGCGAACGGGUGAGUAAUACAUCGGAACAUGUCCUGUAGUGGGGGAUAGCCCGGCGAAAGCCGGAUUAAUACCGCAUACGGUCUACGGAUGAAAGCGGGGGACCUUCGGGCCUCGCGCUAUAGGGUUGGCCGAUGGCUGAUUAGCUAGUUGGUGGGGUAAAGGCCUACCAAGGCGGCGAUCAGUAGCUGGUCUGAGAGGACGACCAGCCACACUGGGACUGAGACACGGCCCAGACUCCUACGGGAGGCAGCAGUGGGGAAUUUUGGACAAUGGGCGAAAGCCUGAUCCAGCAAUGCCGCGUGUGUGAAGAAGGCCUUCGGGUUGUAAAGCACUUUUGUCCGGAAAGAAAUCCUUGGCCCUAAUACGGUCGGGGGAUGACGGUACCGGAAGAAUAAGCACCGGCUAACUACGUG
rnacentral:rRNA from 1 species